GCUUCGAUAGUGGGUUCGGAGUCGUACGCAGGCGCAAACCGAGCAGGCAUCUCCAAGCUUCUAGGGGUAGUUUCGAUCGUCCGGGGGAUGCCUCCCGAGACGCCUCUACCCUCGUGCGUGAUCUCGCGAUGCUGCCUAUACCGAGAUAUCGCAUCGUUAUCGUGACAGUGACACGUCUGCGGAACGCGUGGUGCCAAUCACACGCGAUUGCAUAAUUCAAGGAUCGUCGAUCGAGAGACGCCAGGCCUCGAUAUUCGGAAGAGAAGGAGAUCUUUGUGGUCCAGAGAGAGGAUUCUGCGAUCACGCAUCGCCGUCGGUAAAGAAAGAUGCACCGACUGCGCGGAGAUGAAAUCAGCUGCUGGCUCUGUCAAGGACAAGAUCUGAAGGAUCCGAAAUCGACCAUGCGGAAUUUGACUGACGAUUGUCAGUGACGAUCAUCCUGGCAUCCUCGCCGUCAUCGUCUCUCAUCGGGAAGCAAUAUACAUCAAGCAAUACAGGCGCGUGAAUCGCGUCUGGCACGUCGCGACCAUAUCUACUUCAGCGUUUUAUCGUCGAUUCUGUUAUAAUUACUACAGAAAAAUGAAAAUGAUGCAAAGGAAAAGUGCAUUGGUGUUCUCUGAGACAUUUUCGGUCGCCGAAUCUGAUCGCGAGUGCGACGAACAGAUCGGAUCUAGACGUGCGAGAUCGAUGAUCUAAAAAAAUCCUGAGAUCGAAGAUCGAGGACCGAAGAUUGAUAUGGUCAAUCAAGAUCAUGCAUUGUGCGAGUUAUCUCAGUCAACGUAGUAAAAUCUAAAUGACUAGUUAGCAGGAUUCGAAAUCAAUGUAUAAUUUCCACGAGUUUAAAUCUCGAUAUUAUUCAUAUGCAAAAAUAAUCGCUAUAUUUCUUCACGACGCGAGCAAAUCAACAUACAUUUUUUUUACACCACGAAUCUGGUUUUUUUUUCAUCAACAUCUUGAACUUGUAGAAAUUUUAUGACAAUUUCUAUCUCUGGUUCUAUAAAAGUUCGUUGACCUUUGGAUGAUACAAUAUUCAAGAAUAUAAUUAGCCGGUAUGAUUUAACGUGAAAGAAACACGGUUUUGCAAUAAAAUUACCUGGCGAGAAUGUAGUUUUCUAAAUACUUUCUCGAUAGAAUCGAAUAUACGCACAAUAAACAUUCGAAUUCUCCUAACAUUCUAAAAUUUAUUAUGAACAUUUAUAUCAAAAUGCAAUAGAAUUGUUCAAUUAUGUUAACAAAGACAGUGAUACACACAUACAUACGUGAGACAUGCAACGAGUUACAUAAUCUAUCUGUAGAAUAUUACAGAUGUCUCUUGGGGAUGUUGUGAAUUGAGAGGAUAUGAAGCGAGACAAAACGCGAACUCGGAAUAUUUAUUCGGGAUAAAGCAAUACCCAAUGGACAAUCAAAACCUUUUGUUCGCGGAGUGCAGUCAACGAGAUUGUAAACAACAUUGACACUUAAAUUAUAUAUAUUCUAGAGUUAAAAUAUACACAGUGAGAUCAUUUUUAAUAAGAAAAAUAAUCCACGUGGGUAUUUUUUUAAUUAUACAUAUUUAUAAUAUAUCAAAAAAGGAUAAAGUAAAGAAAUUAUAAAAGAGGAAAAAAUUUUAAAAAACACAAUAGUGUGUGGAAGACACUGUUAACGCAAUCGACGAGAUUGAAUUCACUUUAAUCAUUAGAAGUCUCAAACAACGAAAUCGUAUCAAAGUUAAUCACGACACGAAGAAACUUGUGAGAAUUUUUUUGCGAAUCAGCGAUAACCAUAGGUACAAAAACUGCGAGCGGCUGGAGGAGGCGAAGCCUCCCGCCGCACAAACACUAUCAGCUGGACCUCGAUUAUUUGGAAAGAAGAGGCGGAAAUACAAUAACCUACGAAGGUGCCGAAGGCAGCUCGAAAGAGGAGGAUAGUCCCGCGGAUACAUUAGAUCGCGUUAAAGUUGUCUUCCUGGGUGCACCCGGCGUGGGAAAAACAAGUAUAAUCCGAGUAAAGUCCUUUCAUAACAUGAUCGUAUCAAUUACCUUUGUGCAUUUCGCGUGAAAAUAUUUUUUAUCCUGUCUUUGAAUUAAUUUCUCGGAUAUUAAACGCGCAGUUAGUUAUGCGAUCGAAUUAUGUCAUCGAAUUUCUACAAAUUUAAUAAAUAUAUUCGUCUUAAUUUAAAAUAAGAAUUAUUUAACUUAACAAAAUUUAAAAAUCUAAUAUUUUUAUAAAUACAUUACAAUAGUUGUUUAUUUUUUUAUAAAUUACUUUCUAUUAAUUUGGCAAAGAGAAUGCAAAAACGCACCAAUAAAUAUAACUUUGCAAAUAUUCUAUAUGAAACACAAUCUAUAUACGCGUAUCUCGUAUAUAAUUGAUAAAGAAGUGUCAGAAUCUUUGUUUCAAAGCUAGGAAGGGAACAAAUCGCGGAAACGAGUCGCUCGGGCGCUCGAUUCAUUUCCGAUAGCAGUUUCCGCUUAUCGAAGGCGACGAUUAUCGAGUCGCAAGGAAAUUAAAAGGCACAACGAAUUUCCUAAGGAACGCCGUUCGCUUCUGACGAAAAAAUGUGUCAAAAUGUGAUUUAAAAAUGUGUCUUUUCUUUAGCGGCCAAUACAUACAAAUUUAAAUUUUCAAAACUAAUUUUUCGCUAAAUUUUUGUAAUUUUACUAUAUAGCUCUACGCUU